UUUUGCAAGGUCUGUGGUUGCAAGUUCAUGCCAGAUGCAGGCGAAGGAAUCCACGUAAGCUAUACAAAAAUGAUAUAGUGAGCAUAGUGCAUCUUAGGUGUAAGUCCUGCCGUAAAUUACGAGAGAAUGAUUAGUGAGGCAAACCCAAGCAAAAGUUCCAGCAGGCGAGUGUGGGGGUAAAGACCAGUGUCAGCUUGCAAAA
rfam:Peptoanaerobacter stomatis strain OBRC8 ctg120007290651, whole genome shotgun sequence.